UUUAUGGAGAGUUUGAUCCUGGCUCAGGAUGAACGCUGGCGGCGUGCCUAAUACAUGCAAGUCGAGCGAACUGACGAGGAGCUUGCUCCUUUGACGUUAGCGGCGGACGGGUGAGUAACACGUGGGUAACCUACCUAUAAGACUGGAAUAACUCCGGGAAACCGGGGCUAAUGCCGGAUAACAUGUUGAACCGCAUGGUUCAACAGUGAAAGACGGUCUUGCUGUCACUUAUAGAUGGACCCGCGCCGUAUUAGCUAGUUGGUAAGGUAACGGCUUACCAAGGCGACGAUACGUAGCCGACCUGAGAGGGUGAUCGGCCACACUGGAACUGAGACACGGUCCAGACUCCUACGGGAGGCAGCAGUAGGGAAUCUUCCGCAAUGGGCGAAAGCCUGACGGAGCAACGCCGCGUGAGUGAUGAAGGUCUUCGGAUCGUAAAGCUCUGUUGUUAGGGAAGAACAUAUGUGUAAGUAACUGUGCACAUCUUGACGGUACCUAACCAGAAAGCCACGGCUAACUACGUGCCAGCAGCCGCGGUAAUACGUAGGUGGCAAGCGUUAUCCGGAAUUAUUGGGCGUAAAGCGCGCGUAGGCGGUUUUUUAAGUCUGAUGUGAAAGCCCACGGCUCAACCGUGGAGGGUCAUUGGAAACUGGAAAACUUGAGUGCAGAAGAGGAAAGUGGAAUUCCAUGUGUAGCGGUGAAAUGCGCAGAGAUAUGGAGGAACACCAGUGGCGAAGGCGGCUUUCUGGUCUGUAACUGACGCUGAGGUGCGAAAGCGUGGGGAUCAAACAGGAUUAGAUACCCUGGUAGUCCACGCCGUAAACGAUGAGUGCUAAGUGUUAGGGGGUUUCCGCCCCUUAGUGCUGCAGCUAACGCAUUAAGCACUCCGCCUGGGGAGUACGGUCGCAAGACUGAAACUCAAAGGAAUUGACGGGGACCCGCACAAGCGGUGGAGCAUGUGGUUUAAUUCGAAGCAACGCGAAGAACCUUACCAAAUCUUGACAUCUUUUGACCACUCUAGAGAUAGAGGUUUCCUCUUCGGAGGACAAAAUGACGGGUGGUGCAUGGUUGUCGUCAGCUCGUGUCGUGAGAUGUUGGGUUAAGUCCCGCAACGAGCGCAACCCUUAAGCUUAGUUGCCAUCAUUAAGUUGGGCACUCUAAGUUGACUGCCGGUGACAAACCGGAGGAAGGUGGGGAUGACGUCAAAUCAUCAUGCCCCUUAUGAUUUGGGCUACACACGUGCUACAAUGGACAAUACAAAGGGCAGCGAAACCGCGAGGUCAAGCAAAUCCCAUAAAGUUGUUCUCAGUUCGGAUUGUAGUCUGCAACUCGACUACAUGAAGC
rnacentral:rRNA from 1 species